AACGCACCUUGCGCCCCUUGGCUAUUCCGAGGGGCAUGCCUGUUUGAGUAUCAUGAACACCUCAACUCUCAUGGUUCGCCAUGAUGAGCUUGGACUCUGGGGGUUUUGCUGGCCUGUGGUCGGCUCCCCUCAAAUGAAUCAGCCUCCCAGUGUUUGGUGGCAUCACGGGUGUGAUAGAUAUCUACGCUCGCGGUUGUCUGCCAGGUAACCUUUGGUGACAAAGGUUCGCUGGAGCUCACAGAUGUCUCUCCUCGGCGAGGACAGCUUUUUUGAACGUUCGAUCUCAAAUCAGGUAGGACUACCCGCUGAACUUAA
rnacentral:misc_RNA from 1 species